UACGUAGGUGGCAAGCGUUGUCCGGAAUUAUUGGGCGUAAAGCGCGCGCAGGCGGUCCUUUAAGUCUGAUGUGAAAGCCCACGGCUCAACCGUGGAGGGUCAUUGGAAACUGGAGGACUUGAGUACAGAAGAGGAAAGCGGAAUUCCAGGUGUAGCGGUGAAAUGCGUAGAUAUCUGGAGGAACACCGGUGGCGAAGGCGGCAUCCUGGAGCCGGCAUUGACGCUGAGGCGCGAAAGCCAGGGAGCAACGG
rnacentral:rRNA from 1 species